CUUGAGCCUCUCCUCAGGAGAUAGGAUAGAGGGCUCCUGGUCAACUUAAUGGGAAACCUGAAUGAACGGAUGGAACCAAACCACCUGGUUAUGCUCCAUAAAUGAUGGGAGCAUGAGCAAUGGUCUACCACAGUGCUGUUGGCCUGCCUCUUAGACACCAGUCUUCUUCAGCCUGUCACCUUUCCUCUUCUCAAGAUGUUAUGUGCUGGGGUUGUGCUAUCCUCCUGCAACCAGGAAGGAUGCUUUGCUGGAUCCUGAUUCACACUAUACAACUUUCUAGAGAACAGUGCUGGAGACAGAAGGAGCCUGAGGCCUGGCAGUAAAUCGCCCAGGAAACCUCUAUGGUAGACAGCCAUUUGUCGGAGGCAGAAAACUGAAGCUGUGAACAGACACAAUCAUCUAUAUUCAUCAAGAAGCCUGUCACCCACAGUGUCUGAAAGACAGCAGCGGAAAUAAGGACUGCUAAGAACACAGUGAUCCUUCCAACAUUACUGAGCCAUUCAGGCUUACAGCUGUUGAACGUGAGCGCAAGCAGAGUUGAACAGUGGCAAGACAGCCUUCUCAAAGCUUUCUGUAUUGGGAACAGCACACUGCUUCCUUGCAGCUCUGGCGAUGACUUCUCAGCACAGCAGAAUAGAUAAUUUUGGCCCAUGAGUACUCUCAGCAUUACAGACGCAUUUUACAAUUUUGUUGCUUCUAGCUAUUACGUUAUUUCCAUAUUAGCCUCUUUCUACAUACCAGCCAGAGCAAAAGAAAAAAGAAAGGCCCAAAGAAGUUGUUUCAAAAAACAUUUGUGAUGCAGCCAGGAAAAAACACAGGACACCUUGCCUCAUGAAUUCUGUAUCUGUGAGUUGUGCCAGGCAAGAAACAAGAUUCAGUAUGCUUUUAUACUUCACGUUGUCAAAACUCAUUGAAAAUUAAUACGAAUAAUAUUUUUAACUCUGCAUGUGUAUGGGAACUGCUGAGUCACGGCCUGAACCACUGAUUGAGCACCUGGAGGAAAGACCCAGUCAGCCCUGGGAGCACAGGUGAAGGCAAUUCACCUCUGUGACCGGAAGGGGUGGAGCCUGGCUCCACCACUGUUAGGCCUCAUUUAAGGGCUGACUGCCACUAAGGAAGGAUCUUUUUCUGGAGAUCCCUGCUCGGUGGAAUUUUUCCCUGCAAACUUAUAAUCUUCUGAUUCGGAUGGGUGAUCUACUUCCCUUCCCUUGUAGCUCUUUGCUAUCAUGCUGUUCCUUCCACCUCUUUUGUAACGUCUUUUCCGUCAUAUUGAUCUUUGUGAUCGCUACAGCGUGAUAGCAAGGGGUUUUAGAUGCGGUGUUUUGUAUUCAAAUGGAUUUUAAUGUAGUAUCAGAAAGAUUGUGAUAAAGGGCUUUACGAAUCUCCUAGUAUAUUAUGUGUAGAUGUUCCUAGAAGCUGGAAAAACUUCAAAAGGAAGUUAAGGUCAGUUUAAUUUAGCUACCUUUCCUAAGGUAAAAGAGCAUCUGAAUUAAAUAUAACGACCCGCCUCUUCCACGAGCAGCUUUGUGAGGUGGGAUUCUCCCAGAGCUCUGAAAACAGUCUUAGGGGAUUUCCUUGCUGGAUGAGUCCAGUGUGGAGGUUGUAUGAGCAAAUGCCUUAUAGGAAGGUAGAUCAGCGUCACUGCUUAAGAAGAUUAAUUCUUUAAAAGCUACUUAUGGGAGAGGUGAUCUUUUAUGUGUGAAUCAAAAGCAAUUAAUUAAAAUGGGUCAAUUAGCCUCUCAAAUACGACAUGCAUUCAGAGUUCUGGUUUUUAUGUAUUUACACAUGAAACUGUAAAAUAAAGGUGGGGGGGAGACCUAUGUGACUCAUAGAGGGCAGAAUGAAGAAGUAAAUAUAUCCUUCAGCUUCUGUUAGUCCCACGCUCAGGAACGUGUAUAUUCUGACAUAAUGGGUUCUGUCAUGGGUGUGUGCCACAGCAGCAGUCUGCAUCUGUGCCAUCCUCUAGUGUAACAGAGCUAGAACAAACUGUGGAGGCAGGAAAAUGUGCAACUCAGUGCUGAAACAAAACAAUUUUUUAAGUGGAAGAGUCAAGCUCCAACUAUGUGACUGAAGAGGGAAUUGUAAGGAACUCAACUCUUUUUGAUCUUCCAAAUAAAUAUUGUGGCAUCAAUAGCAUGAGAACAGAAAGUCUUUAAAAUGUGAGGUUUUUGAAGGAGGCAACACAAACUAAAUUCUAGCACAGGUCCCUGGAAAGAAAAUGCAAACCCACCUAGACAAAAUUGGUUUUGCUGAGCCUAGCCUAAGUGCAGUGAUUUGAAUAAUGUCAGGCAUGCAAUAUAUUCUAAAGAACGGACUGAUGAGACCUAGAAAUCUUCUUUGUUCUAUCAGUCAACUUGAAAUGCAUUUCCUUUCAAAUGUGUCUAGAAUCCACACAAGAAUCAAUAUAUGUAAAUUCAGAGAUGAAAGCAAUAAUUCAUACUGGUAGGAAAGCAUAAUGCAUUGCUAGUAUGAAUGCCAAUCAUCCUCCAUAGGCUAUGAUGAAUAGGAAGUGUACAUGCACCUAAUCAAAACAGAACAUCUCAGAAUGCACAUGAUCCAUGAGUGAGAACUUUAGGUUUACAGUUUGCCUAUAAGCACACGGCAGAUACAAAGAAGGGCUAUGAUGCUGUAUUUAUGUUAACCAAAACUGGACAGUUUCAACGCUGCUUCCCCUGGCCCCAACACCAGUUUUUCCAGAAAUGCUGGGCUCAUAAGGAAAAGACCAGAAUCUAUACUGCCUAGGGUACAAGUGACUGAAAGGUAGUAUAGGUAGGUUUGGGUGCAUGCUAUUUUAUAACUGCCUGAUUUUUAAAGUGUUAAGCUUUACACCAGGGCUGACAGAUAGCUUGAUUUACUUUAUAGAAAUGAGAAGGUAAUUCUCAAAAAUAUAGAAUACUGAAUUACGUUAGAAAGAAACUAUCAAAAUGCUCCAUGUUUUACUAACAAUUGUUCCAAUAAUUGGAGCCAAAAUAUUAAAUGCUUUUUGUUGUUGUUUUCAGAGAUGAAAACAAUAGGAUAGAGAAGAGCAUGACACAAAGUAUAUCCAUGAGCUAGGCAAAUAUUUGCUAGUCAUUUAGUGGCACAACAGAGGGAAAGAUUUUUGAACUCUUUUCCUGGAUUUGGGCAAUAAAGCAUAGCCUUAUGAGGCAGGUGGAUAAGUAAGCACAUAGAUCUGGUGUACCUCAUCUAGAACGUAAUGCUUUUGCUUGACUGAGACUUGAAUUUGCAAUGUGGGAGCAUGGUCUCUACCAGGUAUUUCAGAAAAUUCCUCCUGCAGCUUCUUGGGAAACUCAUUUGGCUACAUGUUAUCGCACCAGUCUUGAGAUGUAGCACAGCUGGGUUUACUUCUUCACUGACAAAGGCAUCAAGCUGGCCAAGGUUAGGCUAGACUCACUGACAGUCUGGCCAGAAUGAAGCUCUGCCUCUCACCUGGACUUGUUUAAAUGGCAGAAGUGAGGUAAGUGUUGAACAGGCCUGAGUCACCAGCAAAUCUCAGAAGAGGUCAGCAGCAGAUAUUUGGGGCUAGUUGGAAUCAAUGGGAAGACUGAAUGAAUACAUCAAGUUUAGAAAAUGGUGCUGGUACAAACAAAAUGCAGCCAUUCUGGGGGGAAAAAAAAAUCACUUUUGCUAUUUUGAACUUCUGACUUGGAAAAUAGUGCCUAUCACCCUAAAUAAAAUAUACUGAAUGUAACACUAGGAAAAUUCUUCAGGUUCUGACUGAUGGUAUAGGAAGUAGAACAGACUUUGGCAGUUGGGGAAAUAAGCCAGAAAGCUCGCUUGUGUAUUUUCAACAACAGCUUAUAUAUUCUUUCCAGGAUGAUACUAUUGGUAAUCUAUCUUUUGGAUUUUUGGGAACAUAAUGUAUUCAUUCUCCUUUGAAAAAGGAUCACCAAAAAUAUCACUAAACGCUCCUUGUGGAAUGUGGUAAAGGGGAGCUUGAUGGAGAAGGGAGAGGUCUCUGACUGUGCCCCAACAGAAAAGGAUUGACUGAAACAGCUGUUCUGUGAAGCCAGCUGUGCGUACAACUUUAAUUCCCCCGCUUUUAUUUUAGACAGUGUAAGAGGUUUAUUUCUUAAUUGCUUUCACAAGAUGUUAGAACUGUUUGUAACAGCAAUUAUGGGGCAAUACCUGCAGCUGGUUCACUACAGACAACAAUACAGAUAUUUGUUUUCUGCCUGCGGUGCAGGUUGUUCAGAAUGCACAGCCCACUUGAAAAUGUUUUCAGUAAUCAAGAAAAAAAAAACCUCUUAUUUCUGAAAACUUCCUUGGGCAAUGGUUAAUUGCUGCCAACACUGUCUGUGGACAAGAGUCCCAGAACACAAGACAAGGUGAGUUACAGGAAUGCAUCAUUUAUAUCAUUCUCAAAAAUUUCAGAAAACAGAGCAGUGGUGGACUGGGAUCCACAGAGGCUGAGGCUACACAAACAGAAAAGCCUGGGCUGAAGAGUUAAGCUCAGCUCUGGCUUGAGGUGAAUUGUGGGCAGGACCAUUUCCUUCCAGUCUUGAAGAAAUAAACAUUUAGAGGAUUACACAUAGUGGAGGAAUUGCAGAGGCGCAGGCUUUGUAUUUAUGAUGUUGCAGAUCAGCACUGAGCUAACUCCCCAGCCAGAAAACACCCUGCAAAUGUCCACUGCCUAAAGGCUGGGAAUGAGAAUGGAACACCAAGGAUUCAAAGCCCUUGAGACAACUCAAUCCCUUCCAAUCCAGGCACUACAUAGCAAAUUCCCAUUUGAUACAUCACGUUGGCAAAAAGAGAAUCCCUCACUGAGAGACAGAACAAGGGCUGAGUGAUAAUACAGCUGUCAUUCCUGGCAUGAAGAAACACUUUCUUUAUCUUCUAGGAGUGAUUGUAUUUUCACUGUUAACAUUUCUGCCAGACUUCCUUUCAAAGAAGCAUCGAGACUAGGGUGGAAUAUUUUGUAGGAUACUUGCAGAGGAGACAGAAUGGUCCCAUCGUCCUCCAAUUUUUCCCCAAAAAAUUCAGAACAAAAGUAUGAUGGAGUAACAGAGUAAAGGAAGGCAUAAUUUAAGCACUGCGGUGCUUAAAUUCACCCAUGGAAAGAGCUAAUCCUUAGACAGUUGAUGGGGUGGUUUGCAGUCCCUCUGUGACAAAGGUCCCAAGCAUGGCUGUGGUCAGGAUGUGGACCUUGUUGAGGGGUAUGAUGCUGUAGAGUAUUAGCUAGCUUUUUCUUCCCAGACUUCAUAAAGCGGUUGAAAGUCAGAUUGCAGGUAGCAUUUCCUCCCUGGAGUCUUCUGAUGAGGUUGUUUAUUAUAAAGCAUUGCUUACUCUAGAAGAGACAAGCAUAUUGGUCCUGCAGGUCAAUAGUAAUGUACUUACAGAUUAUCUCAGUUGUUGAAAAUGAAAGAUGCAGACAUAAAACUGAAUGCCCUUAAUGACAGAAGGACUGAAAUACUGGGAUGUGGCUCCAUUUCUCUUUGCACUUCUCCUUUUCUCUCCUUGCCUUCAUCUUUCCUACUCUUAUGCAGACAGCUACAGUGAAUUUAGUCAAAUACACACUGACAAUACACACUGCCAGUUACCUGCUUUUGGAUGAUAGUUAUGUUAAGUCUAGACUUUUCUAUGAAGAUUUUUUUUCUUGCACAGAGACCAAGAAUGUGGUAUCUGAUUUUUUUUUUUUUUGUGAACUGACGUUCACAAUUUCAAAUAUUUCUUUGUUCCUAUGAUUCAUCAAACUAGUUUGAGUGAGUGGACCUUUUUACCCUAUAAUUUAAAAUGAAGGAUUUUGAAGGGCACCUGAAAUUUUCUCCAGCUUAAAAAAAAAAAAAAAAAA